ACAGCAGCAGCCGCGGGAAUACGAAGGGUGCAAGCGUUACUCGGAAUUACUGGGCGUAAAGCGUGCGUAGGUGGUGGUUUAAGUCCGUUGUGAAAGCCCUGGGCUCAACCUGGGAAUUGCAGUGGAUACUGGGUCACUAGAGUGUGGUAGAGGAUAGUGGAAUUUCCGGUGUAGCAGUGAAAUGCGUAGAGAUCGGAAGGAACAUCUGUGGCGAAGGCGACUAUCUGGGCCAACACUGACACUGAGGCACGAAAGCGUGGGGAGCAAACAGGAUUAGAUACCCCAGUAGUCCCUGUCUCUUAUAA
rnacentral:rRNA from 1 species